CUGCUCCGCCAAUGACAGAAGCGGACUGGACACGUAUUCAGGAAGCACAGCUCCCUGGACGGGCUGGCUGUCUCGGUUCAAGCGGUGCAUGGAUGUGGAGAAGAAAUCUGCAACGGGUAGUAGCUCAGGGCGGUUUGUUCAUCAGCGCGAUGUCACCUGUGGUUUUGUGUUGGGAGAUGCAGUAACUGAACCAGCGGGGGCGUGGUAGCUGGCUCGGCACCUGGCUCUCCUCCACACCUGCAGCAGAUCAACUCAUCACCGCUGUGCUCUUAAGCUCCAACUUCCUGGAGGGCCGGUGCUAGAUUGUUUUUCACCAUCCGUGGUAACAGUUGUCGGCCUACUCAGACGAUUCUCGUUCUACUCGAGCCUUCGCCUUAAAGUUUGUUCCUAACUGUUUUUUGUCUCUUCAUUUUUGUUUUCAGACCUCUGCUACGUCGUGCCCCCUCGCCAGCCACACUCCUGGAUCCACAAGCUCUCUAGCCUCCCAGCCUGGCCUUCCCAACCCUUGCCUAGUUAUUGUUUUUGUUCUCAAGAAUAAACCCUUUUUUCACACCUUCA